ACUAUUUUGGCAGAUAAGUGCCUUAGAUUUAGAAUCUAAUUAUGUAARGAUUAAUUACAGAUAGUA
rnacentral:tRNA from 1 species